rnacentral:rRNA from 1 species
UACAGAGGGUGCAAGCGUUAAUCGGAAUUACUGGGCGUAAAGCGCGCGUAGGCGGUCUUGUAUGUCGAUUGUGAAAGCCCCGGGCUCAACCUGGGAACUGCAGUCGAAACUGCAAGACUUGAAUGUUGGAGAGGUUGGGGGAAUACCUAGUGGAGAAGUGAAAUUCGUAGAGAUUAGGUGGAACACCAGAGGCGAAGGCGCCUGACUGGCCAAACAUUGACGCUGAGGCGCGAAAGCGUGGGUAGCAAACAGG